CAACGAUGCAACGAGCGUAUUCAUAGUUUCUUGAUAUAUAAUUACGUACAAGGUAUAAUAGUUCAACAGUUAAGCUACCAGCAUCAAGAGAAAGGUACAUUUGACAUAGGGGAGAGAAAAAUCAAAGAAAUGCCUCAAAUGAAUUCGGUGGAUCCAAAGAUUUUUAUAGACGAUUCUCUGGAUCUCUGUGACUUAAUUAUUGUUAAAUGAAAGAAGCUUACGAAGUUAUUAUAAUUUUUUGUAUAAUUUUUCUGAGAAUUUUCUAAGUUAUGCAUUUUUUAAAUUCUCCGUACCUCUAUUUCUUCAUUUGUCUUCCAUAUUGUCUUCAUUCUAUGAAAUUUAUUAUUUCUAUGUAUGUACUCUUUAUUUUGUUUCUAAAUCCAUUUAAAAUUGAGUUUUUGGAUGGGAUAUUGUACUACUUUGGAUUUUUUGGGACAGCUGUACUUCAACCAUCCCCUUCAAGAUGCCAUUAGGCUGAUUAAAUUCAACACUCAACAGUGGAAUGAGGAUGAAAUUCAUUAUUGAAGAGGAACUAAAUAACUUUAGCGAAACUGCCACGGCCAAAGAUGCUGCACUUCGCGACGCAGGAGCUCGCGUACCGGAUUUCUUCGAUUACUUAGACAUGUUAAUAAUACCAGAUACGAGCUUACAGUUUACAUUCUUCAUACAUCCUUUUACAGAAGAGGAAAUGGUGGUGUUCUCAGAUAAAGGUGCUUAAUUGGAAUCGGAAGUGAUUGGUGAGGCUUAAUCUUUGACCAAGGGUUAAAUGUGAUGCAGGAAGUUGUAAUAGGCAUCGAGAGACGAAAGCUUGAUGAUAAAUGGAGAUUUUUUACAACAAAUCGAUGGAUGUAUACAGUUCCAGGACAGUACAUUUAUUCUUUUCAUGAAUAUUGCCAGCAAUGCAUCAGGACAGCUGCACUUCAAUUCAACCACCUUCUUCGAGAUGCCCUUAGGUUGAUUAAAUUCAACAUUCACAGUGGAUUCAGAGUAAAAUUCAUCAUUUACGAGGAAACUAAACAAUUUGAGAACCAGGACUUUCCAGAAGGGUAGCCAGAAGUUUUAUUUACCUCAUCAUAGACAUCAGCAUGUCCAUCAGCAC